rnacentral:rRNA from 1 species
UACAGAGGGGGCAAGCGUUGUUCGGAAUUACUGGGCGUAAAGGCGCGUAGGCGGCCUUCUAAGUCGAACGUGAAAUCCCUGGGCUCAACCCAGGAACUGCGUCGGAUACUGGAUGGCUUGAAUCCGGGAGAGGGAUGCGGAAUUCCAGGUGUAGCGGUGAAAUGCGUAGAUAUCUGGAGGAACACCGGUGGCGAAGGCGGCAUCCUGGACCGGCAUUGACGCUAAAGCGCGAAAGCCAGGGGAGCAAACGGG